rnacentral:rRNA from 1 species
UACGAAGGGGGCUAGCGUUGUUCGGAUUUACUGGGCGUAAAGGGCGCGUAGGCGGCAUGACAAGUCACUUGUGAAAUCUCCGGGCUUAACUCGGAACGGUCAAGUGAUACUGUCGCGCUAGAGUGCGGAAGGGGCAAUCAGAAUUCUUGGUGUAGCGGUGAAAUGCGUAGAUAUCAAGAGGAAUACCUGAGGUGAAGACGGGUUGCUAGGCCGACACUGACGCUGAAGCGCGAAAGCCAGGGGAGCAAACGGG